GACAGAGGGUGCAAACGUUGUUCGGAAUUACUGGGCGUAAAGCGUGUGUAGGCGGUCCACUAAGUCGGGUGUGAAAGCCCUGGCUCAACCCAGGAAGUGCACUCGAAACUGGCGGGCUAGAGUAUCGGAGAGGUUGGUGGAAUUCUCGGUGUAGCGGUGAAAUGCGUAGAUAUUGGAGGAACACCAGUGGCGAAGGCGGCUCACUGGACCGGUACUGACGCUGAGGCGCGAAAGCGUGGGAGCAACAGG
rnacentral:rRNA from 1 species